rnacentral:lncRNA from 1 species
AUGUUAUCACUUAUAAAAUACACUAUCUUCUACUUCUAACCCUACCGCCUAUAUCCACUUCCAAAGCUAUUCUAAGAUUUAAACAUUAACAUAUUUUUUCAAAUAUUCCUUAAACUUCUUCCAAUCUUUUUCCACCGUCUCUUCUCUCUGGUCUCGGAGUCUCCCGGUCAGUAAGGUCGCGAAUAUAAGUCACACUUUAACUUUUCACGGUCGGAAUUUGGGGGGAAAGUAAGGCCAAUAUGGUAAGUUGCCAUUUGCAAACAGGGAUAGAAAAGCACCUCUCUCUUUCUCUCUUGAGACCCUGGAGACUCAACUGCCCAUCAAAGGAGACAUAGCUGAACAAGAUAGGGUGAUGCUCUGACUAGCUAGGUGGAAGCUUCCUCUCUUCGUGUGACAUCAGGGGAAUCAAAAGAAUUUGUCCAGGUUUCAAGAGGGCAACCCAAGAGUGGAGGGAACAAAAUAUCCUGGCCCAGGAAGAAGCCUUUCUGAUUCUUGUAAUAAUCAGGUGUCUGGGGCAAGCUCAAAGCCAGAAUUGAAUUCUGUUAUCUUUGAGAGUGGAUUAGCUUGCCCUCUAGAGGCAAUCUGGAGACAGGAGCAAUCCCUGGUUCUCUGGCGUCAAGAGUUUGCACAUGAAAAGCAUUCUGCCACCUCCUAUACGGCUCCUUCUCCAGAAUCGUGUUCUCACAGUGGCCAAACAAAUGCCACAAGCAGGACCUGAUCGCAAGAGCAUUCUCCCCUCCUGUAGCUUCCAGCAACCGGUAUUUAAAUGCAUUACUGCCUCUGACCAUGGAGGCAGAGAGUAGCCAUUGUGGCUAGCAGCUUUUGAUAGCCCUCUCCUCCCUGAAUUUGUCCAAUCCUCUUUGAAAUCCACCCAUCACUGCCUUCUUGUGGGAGUGAGUUCCACAGGUUAACUAUGCACUUUGUGAAGAUGUCCUUCCUUUGCUCUGCCCUGCACCUUCCAACAUUCAGAUUCACUGGAGUUACGAUCGGCAGUUUCAGUUCCUUUCCUGAUGAUCCCGUUUGCCUUUUCCACAGCUACCACACACCAGGUCGACAUUUUCAUCCAGCUGUCCCUUGCUGCCCCUGCUGAUCUUGCCAAGUGGGGCUGAUGGGGUAAUCACAGUUUCAAACCUCUGGAGGGUGCCAGCUUGGGAGAAGGCUGAUCUAGUGUGCCAAAAACACACAGCGACAUAAGUGCCUUGGAGAAGGCACUGACCCCUGUCAUUUCAGAAGAAGCCACAGUAGCCCCUGAAGCAACUGAUUGGCUGGCUAACGGCCCCCCAUUCUAGAGGUCAGGACUGUGGCAAUCACACAGGGUCCCCGGACAUUUAACGGUCUAUUGAUCCCUGUGCCACCACUGUGAUUGCCUCCUCGCUGCCACCAACCCGUUUCUCUUGGGUACACACGGAGUCCAGACAGUUGUUAACAUUAACAAAUAAUCAAGUUUAUUUUAUAAGCAUGAACAAGUUUAUGGUUUCAGUUAAUUUUUUGUGGCAGUUUCUUAAUCUUAGUUUCUUUACUGACCUAUACGUUCCUAACAACUUCAAACUGAUUAUCCCAACUGUUAUGUACUGAAGUUCUCACCCUGGGCCAGCAGGGGGAUACCGUAGAUAGUUAUGCAAAUGAAGGAUCGAAAGUGACGUUCAGUGAUUGGGUAGUUUUAGAAAGUUGUUACAGUAACAUGGUACUGGAGCUCUAUAUAAGCAGGCUGACUGAGCCCUUCAGUUCAGUUCUGUCCUGGCCUGUGAAUAAACAAGAGCUGUUUGAAGAAUCACUGUGAUAUGUUCACCCACAACUUAACACCAACUAUCUAUCUGACUCCACCUAACAGUUCCUCUCACUCUCUCACAUUAAAACUAGACCAACCCACAGACUUAUCCUCCCUCUUCCUUCUCCAACUCCCAACUGAUUCCUUAACAACUCCAACUCUAACUCCUCCCCUUGGGUUCCCACUGGCCAAUCACUUCACACUCAUUUAACCCUUUCCUUAUGACCCAGCAUGAUGUCACCUGGGAGGGCAAACGCCACAAGGACCAAGAGCCAUUUGAUCUCCAUGGGCUGCCAGAGACACAGCUGGAAAAGGGAGGAGGCAAAGGCAUGACACCAGCAUUACAAAUGAAAAAAUGAGGCGAGAGUACCCAGGACAGCUCUUGAUCUUUUCGUGCGCUAUUUCGGAAUGCUCUCUCCAAACCUUGACUGAGGCCACAUGACUCACGAUGGGUGGCUCUGCGAUUCAGGCAGUUGUGGGAAGAUUAAAUCAGGAACAGGGGCCAAUGGUAGCAAAGGAUCCAAGUGUCUUUCUUUUGCAGCACUUUCCCUGCUCAAUAUACCCCCCCCCCAUGUGUGUGAAAAGGUAAUGGGACCUCACACUGAAGAUGGACGAACUCUUGGAUGAAUCAAACCUAGAGAGUCCAAGUCAAAGAAGUGCCCUCUGUUCAGUUAACAGCCUCUUCUUAAUAAAUAAUGGUAAUAAUUUUAUUAUUUGUACCCCGCCCAUCUGACUGGGUUGCCCCAGCCACUCUGGGCGGUUUCCAACAAAUAUACAGUGGUACCUCGGGUUACAUAUGCUUCAGGUUACAUACGCUUCAGGUUACAGACUCCACUAACCCAGAAAUAGUGCUCCAGGUUAAGAACUUUGCUUCAGGAUAAGAACAGAAAUCGGGCUUUGGCGGUGCGGCGGCAGCAGGAGGCCCCAUUAGCUAAAAUGGUGCUUCAGGUUAAGAACAGUUUCAGGUUAAGAACGGACCUCCGGAACGAAUUAAGUACUUAACCCGAGGUACCACUGUAAAAGCAUAAUAAAACAUCAAACAUUAAAAAGUUCCCUAAACAGGGCCAAGUGGGGAUUCGAACCCUGGUCUCCAGGGUCCCAGUCAGACACGACAUCCACUACGCCAUGCCUGCUGUUCUCACCCAUGUAUACCCCACACAUCUUCCACAUGCGCAGCCUAUAGCCACAUCUACGCCUUACAUUUAAAACACUCUUCUGCCACUGCAAAGCUCAUGGUUUCACCCCAAGGAAUGCUGGG